rnacentral:rRNA from 1 species
GCGUAAAGCGAGCGCAGGCGGUUUAAUAAGUCUGAAGUUAAAGGCAGUGGCUUAACCAUUGUUCGCUUUGGAAACUGUUAAACUUGAGUGCAGAAGGGGAGAGUGGAAUCCAUGUGUAGCGGUGAAAUGCGUAGAUAUAUGGAGGAACACCGGUGGCGAAAGCGGCUCUCUGGUCUGUAACUGACGCUGAGGCUCGAAAGCGUGGGGAGCAAACAGGAUUAGAUACCCUGGUAGUCCACGCCGUAAACGAUGAGUGCUAGGUGUUAGGCCCUUUCCGGGGCUUAGUGCCGCAGCUAACGCAUUAAGCACUCCGCCUGGGGAGUACGACCGCAAGGUUGAAACUCAAAGGAAUUGACGGGGGCCCGCACAAGCAGCGGAGCAUGUGGUUUAAUUCGAAGCAACGCGAAGAACCUUACCUAGACUUGACAUCUCCUGCAUUACUCUUAAUCGAGGAAGUCCCUUCGGGGACAGGAUGACAGGUGGUGCAUGGUUGUCGUCAGCUCGUGUCGUGAGAUGUUGGGUUAAGUCCCGCAACGAGCGCAACCCUUAUUGUUAGUUGCCAUCAUUAAGUUGGGCACUCUAGCGAGACUGCCCGGGUUAACCGGGAGGAAGGUGAGGAUGACGUCAAAUCAUCAUGCCCCUUAUGUCUAGGGCUACACACGUGCUACAAUGGUCGGUACAAUAAGACGCAAGCCCGCGAGGGGGAGCAAAACUGGAAAACCGAUCUCAGUUCGGAUUGUAGGCUGAAACUCGCCUACAUGAAGCUGGAGUUGCUAG